UGGAGCCUGUGAUGAUUAAAAUAUUUGCCUACAUUGUCUGAUGCUUUUGCUGAAAGAUAGUUUUCAAUAUUUCUGAGGCCUGU
rnacentral:snoRNA from 1 species